AUUUUUUUAAUGAGCAUCAUCAGCAUGGAAGCAUGUCCUCCUGAAUGGUGGCCGAAGCGUGAAGGGGCGUACGAAUGACCAGCACAUCUGGCACAUAAAUAUCUUGCAAC